rnacentral:rRNA from 1 species
AUUGAACGCUAGCGGCAUGCCUAACACAUGCAAGUCGAAAGAGUGGCGGAAGGGUGAGUCAUGUAUGGGAAACUGCCCGAUGGCGGGGGAUAACUACUGGACACGGUAGCUAAUACCGCAUACAAUCGGAUGGGCCCAGAUGGGAUGAGCUAGGAGGUGGGGUAACGGCUCACCUAGGCGACGAUCCCUAGCUGGGCUGAGAGGAUGACCAGCCACACUGGAACUGAGACACGGUCCAGACUCUGACGGGAGGAAGCAGUGGGGAAUAUUGCACAAUGUUGGAAAGCCUGAUGCAGCCAUGCCGCGUGUAUGAAGAAUGCCUUCGGGUUGUAAAGUACUUUCAGCGAGGAGGCGUUACUCGCAGAAGAAGCACCGGCUAACUCCGUGCCAGCAGCCGCGGUAAUAC